UCAACUCCUGGAUGACUACAAGAAAGGGAACCUCCACAUCAUUCCAGAAACUCCUCUGGCUGAGGAGAGAUCAGGAGAUGACAGUGAUGUGUUGAUAGACCCAGGAGAUGAACAUAUGCCUGAGAAGAAGAACUAGUGUGGAACUGUCAGCCAGGUUUUUGAUGAGUGCUCAGACUGCUUCCUGAUCCGGCACCACAUUUACUAUAGUGGACAGAUGCUCUAGUCUCUGAUGAGGAGUUGCUAGCUGUUAGGAAAAACCUGGAAUGGGCUCCACUGCAUGAGGUUUGAAGUCUCCAGAGCAGCAAAGAGAGUGGGGAGUAGAACUCA
rnacentral:lncRNA from 1 species